UACGUAGGGUGCAAGCGUUUGUCCGGAAUUAUUGGGCGUAAAGAGCUCGUAGGUGGCCUGUCGCGUCGGCUGUGAAAACUCGGGGCUCAACUCCGAGCUUGCAGUGGGUACGGGCAGACUAGAGUGCGGUAGGGGUGACUGGAAUUCCUGGUGUAGCGGUGGAAUGCGCAGAUAUCAGGAGGAACACCGAUGGCGAAGGCAGGUCACUGGGCCGCAACUGACGCUGGAGGAGCGGAAAGCAUGGGGAGCGAAACAGG
rnacentral:rRNA from 1 species